UACGUAGGGUGCGAGCGUUAAUCGGAAUUACUGGGCGUAAAGCGUGCGCAGGCGGCGCGUUAAGACAGGUGUGAAAGCCCCCGAGCUUAACUUGGGAAUUGCGCUUGUGACUGGCGUGCUGGAGUGUGGCAGAGGGAGGUGGAAUUCCACGUGUAGCAGUGAAAUGCGUAGAGAUGUGGAGGAACACCGAUGGCGAAGGCAGCCUCCUGGGCCAGCACUGACGCCCAUGCACGAAAGCGUGGGGAGCAAACAGG
rnacentral:rRNA from 1 species